AGAUGCGAUCAUACCAGCACUAACGCACCGGAUCCUAUCAGAACUUCGAAGUCAAGCGUGCUUGGGAGAGAGUAGUACUAGGAUGUGUGACCCCCUGGAAAGUCCUCGUGUUGCAUCCC
rfam:Nicotiana sylvestris Nsyl_contig33635, whole genome shotgun sequence.